AUUUAUAUAAUAUAAAAAUUAUAUUUAACUUCCAAUUAAAAAAUCUAAGUUUCCUUAGUAUAAAUA
rnacentral:tRNA from 1 species